rnacentral:rRNA from 1 species
GACGAACGCUGGCGGCGUGCCUAAUACAUGCAAGUCGAACGCUUCUUUCCUCCCGAGUGCUUGCACUCAAUUGGAAAGAGGAGUGGCGGACGGGUGAGUAACACGUGGGUAACCUACCCAUCAGAGGGGGAUAACACUUGGAAACAGGUGCUAAUACCGCAUAACAGUUUAUGCCGCAUGGCGUAAGAGUGAAAGGCGCUUUCGGGUGUCGCUGAUGGAUGGACCCGCGGUGCAUUAGCUAGUUGGUGAGGUAACGGCUCACCAAGGCCACGAUGCAUAGCCGACCUGAGAGGGUGAUCGGCCAUACUGGGACUGAGACACGGCCCAGACUCCUACGGGAGGCAGCAGUAGGGAAUCUUCGGCAAUGGACGGAAGUCUGACCGAGCAACGCCGCGUGAGUGAAGAAGGUUUUCGGAUCGUAAAACUCUGUUGUUAGAGAAGAACAAGGACGUUAGUAACUGAACGUCCCCUGACGGUAUCUAACCAGAAAGCCACGGCUAACUACGUGCCAGCCGCCGCAGUAA